UACGUAGGGUGCGAGCGUUGUCCGGAUCUAUUGGGCGUAAAGAGCGUGUAGGCGGCCUGACAGGUCUGCUGUGAAAACUCGAGGCUCAACCUCGAGAUGUCGGCGGAAACCGUCUGGCUAGAGUCCGGAAGAGGAGAGUGGAAUUCCUGGUGUAGCGGUGAAAUGCGCAGAUAUCAGGAAGAACACCUAUGGCGAAGGCAGCUCUCUGGGACGGUACUGACGCUGAGACGCGAAAGCGUGGGGAGCGAACAGG
rnacentral:rRNA from 1 species